rnacentral:lncRNA from 1 species
AAAAAAAGUGAAAAAAAAUCAAGCAAAAAAAAGAGAGAGAUAGAAAAAAAUUGAAAAAAAAAUUGAAAAAAAAAGAAGAAGAGGAUUUCGUGAAUGUUGAAGAUAUUUUGGUAUUAUUCAAUUGUUUGAAGUGAAAAAAAUCGAAGUAUAAAAAAAAAAGUGAAAAGUCUUGUGAGUUUUAUUUUGUUAUUAUUUCUUGUUACUUCCGAGCAUCCAUUCCUUCUACCCAAAAAAAAACGCCACACAUACUUUGAUUUUUU